rnacentral:rRNA from 1 species
GAUCUGGCUCAGGAUGAACGCUGGCGGCGUGCCUAACACAUGCAAGUCGAGCGAUUCUCUUCGGAGAAGAGCGGCGGACGGGUGAGUAACGCGUGGGUAACCUGCCCUGUACACACGGAUAACAUACCGAAAGGUAUGCUAAUACGAGAUAACAUGAGAAAGUCGCAUGGCUCUCUUAUCAAAGCUUUUGCGGUACAGGAUGGACCCGCGUCUGAUUAGCUAGUUGGUAAGGUAA